rnacentral:lncRNA from 1 species
UUCAAUAUUUCAGGACAGAAGUAUUAACAAUAAAAUAUUAGUUUAAAAGGGGUGCAAUUCUUCCACCUAAAACAUAUAGAAAAUUAUAUUUCUAAAUAAACAUGGGUAGUCUACAUAUGAAUAAUACCCUAUUUAUUGCUGUACUAUCAUAGACCAUUCAUUUCUUUACGACGGAAUUUCCAAAUUACUACGUAAUCUAUAACACAUAUGGCAUUUCCAACAAUUUAAAUUAAUAAAAAAAGAAAAAUAACCCGCAGUUUUUAAAUUAUCUUCACGAGGUAUGAUUAAAAGAAAAAAAGCAGAAAAAGUCAGUCAAGGGUAAAUAAUCCAGAUGAUAUGUUAGCUCGUGUAAGUUAACAUGGGAAUCAAAAUACAAUUUGACACAUAGCGUUAUAACACAGGUCAAGGGACUAUCAUUAUUGCUUCCUUACUAAUUAUAUGAUGCUUCAUUACAGUGAGCCAAUAUGGCAUUUGAAGAAAUACAGGUGAGCUCACAUGUGUGCAAAUAUAACUAUAUAAUAU